rnacentral:tRNA from 3 species
UGGUGGAUAUGCAAGUGGACAAAGCAAGCUGACUGUAAAUCAGUUCCUUCGGGUUCGUGAGUUCGUAUCUCACUCCACCAA